rnacentral:rRNA from 1 species
GUCCACGCCGUAAACGAUGGAUACUAGCUGUUCGGAGCAAUCUGAGUGGCUAAGCGAAAGUGAUAAGUAUCCCACCUGGGGAGUACGUUCGCAAGAAUGAAACUCAAAGGAAUUGACGGGGGCCCCGCACAAGCGGUGGAGCAUGUGGUUUAAUUCGAUGAUACGCGAGGAACCUUACCAAGGCUUAAAUGUAGAUUGACAGGACUGGAAACAGUUUUUUCUUCGGACAAUUUACAAGGUGCUGCAUGGUUGUCGU